rnacentral:rRNA from 1 species
GAUGAACGCUGGCGGCGUGCCUAAUACAUGCAAGUCGAGCGAACAGACGAGGAGCUUGCUCCUCUGACGUUAGCGGCGGACGGGUGAGUAACACGUGGAUAACCUACCUAUAAGACUGGGAUAACUUCGGGAAACCGGAGCUAAUACCGGAUAAUAUAUUGAACCGCAUGGUUCAAUAGUGAAAGACGGUUUUGCUGUCACUUAUAGAUGGAUCCGCGCCGCAUUAGCUAGUUGGUAAGGUAACGGCUUACCAAGGCAACGAUGCGUAGCCGACCUGAGAGGGUGAUCGGCCACAGUGGAGGUGAGACGCGGUCCAGACUCCUACGGGAGGCAGAGGUAGGGACUCUUCCGCAAUGGGCGAAAGCCUGACGGAGCAACGCCGCGUGAGUGAUGAAGGUCUUCGGAUCGUAAAACUCUGUUAUUAGGGAAGAACAAAUGUGUAAGUAACUAUGCACGUCUUGACGGUACCUAAUCAGAAAGCCACGGCUAACUACGUG